GGCACCCAGAGGCAGCCCUCUCCAGGGAUCCCAGAGGACCAGGCACUGGGUCCCUAAAGAGGGGCCAAGGCAGCCUGUGAAUUGGAGGUGUGGUGGCUCCAUAGAAAGGCGUAUUGGUGCUCACUGCUCAUAGCAUUCAGUCUCGCUUCCCCCUUUUAGAGUGCAAACAGAUGCAAAUUAAUGAUUGUUGCUUCCAGAAAGAAGCAAGAUGCCUCUCAGGACACCAGAAUCUACAACGGUCCUUCACUGUUCCCCCAAAAGGAAGACAAAGACCUUGCACCAUUUUCCUCAGCACCUGCUGAUCCCAGCUGAUUUCUAUCCAGAGUGGGUCCCAAGCUGGCUGGAGAGGAAUCAUGCAGGUGAGUGCUGCCCAACCUGCUUCCGUUGGAACCUCCAGAGUUGGGGAGGGAGUGCAUCUGACUUGUGCCUGGAGUGGCUAUGGUCCCUGCUCAUGCGGAGCAUGCACUUUUCAGGCCAGAUCUCCCAGGAGGAGUUUGGGUGCUACGGGAUUUGGCUGGUUCUAGAAGCAAAGAAGGUUUGUUUAGCAAGUUUCCAGGUAAGAUGGAGCUGGAAAUAAAAGCUGUUAUGACGGAUGAAAAAAUAAGCCUUGCAAAGAUUUCACUGGACUAGCAUGAUGAGCUGAAGUCAAGAAAAUUAAAUUAUACCUGUCAGGAAGCAGGAAGCACUCACAUGCUCAGAAAGUUUAACUGAAGAGAGUUACCACCCCAGGGGCUGGGGAUUUAGCUCAGCGGCAAAGCGCCUGCCUGGCAAGCGCAAGGUCGUGAGUUCGGUUCCUGGUACCAGAGAAAAACCAAAAAAAAAAGAGAGAGUUACCACCCCAGGCCGGAAAGGGCAAGGGAGCGAGGGGCUUGCCACAAGCCUUGGGGCAACUGUGCAAGAAAGGCACCACGCAGCAGCUGUGGCCCUAGGUACUGCCAGCACUGUGUCCUAGAAGAGAGAAUUGGAGUAGGUUAGAUACCCGACCUUACGCUCCCUCCUCACUUGAAACUCACCUCGACAGGGAGCCAGAUGGCCAGGGGGUCAGUGAUGCCAAGAUCCGCCCCUCCAAGACCCAGAACAAGCUAAGCACAGAGGCUGGAUCCAGAAGGGAGAAGAAGAUUCACAGCAAUCCAUGUAAAAGUGAAUUCAGCUCAGAAAGUCAGUUGCUUAAAAGUGAGAUGAACACACUGAUUUUUGCCCUGAUCAGAUCACACCUAGGAUUGUGAGCAAGACUGGGUCUCACGCCUCAGAAGGAAUAUUUACAGCCAGGCAUUCAGAGAGGCAGCUAAGAGACAGAAGAGGUGAUGACCCAGUCCAACAUGGAAAAGCUGAGGAGGGUGGGGAGUAGCACUUGAGCUGAAGAGAAGAUGAUUUAGGGAGUAGACAGUAACUUUCCCCAUGUAUCCUAAGUACACACAGGAGGACCCCUCUUUUGGUCAUCCCUCCAGCUUCUCAAUAUCCCCAGACUAUGUGGCACUACUCCUGUGGACUCCUAUGCAAGCCAUGAUUUUUCACAGCCCCCACAUUCCAACUGUCCAUUUGCUCAUCCACCUGUCCCCAGCAUUGAGAAUAGGUGCUUUUUAACCACUGCAAACCAAAACCUAGUGCUUGGCUCCUGGGAGGGGCUUGGACAGUAUUUGUGUAAUGACCAGCAUGCUCCCAGAAGAGCCGGACAGUCCCCUGC
rnacentral:lncRNA from 1 species